CAGUAAGAGAGAAUGUCCCAGAACC
rnacentral:piRNA from 1 species